CUUAGACAUGUAGGUGUCCCACUUAGACAUGUAGGUGUCCCAAGUAGACAUGUAGGUGUCCCACGUAGACAUGUAGGUGUCCCACAUAGACAUGUAGGUGUCCCACAUAGACAUGUAGGUGUCCCACUUAGACAUGUAGGUGUCCCACUUAGACAUGUAGGUGUCCCACGUAGACAUGUAGGUGUCCCACGUAGACAUGUAGGUGUCCCACGUAGACAUGUAGGUGUCCCACGUAGACAUGUAGGUGUCCCACAUAGACAUGUAGGUGCCCCACAUAGACAUGUAGGUGUCCCACAUAGACAUGUAGGUGUCCCACGUAGACAUGUAGGUGUCCCACGUAGACAUGUAGGUGCCCCACAUACACAUGUAGGUGUCCCACGUAGACAUGUAGGUGCCCGACAUAGAUAUGUAGGUGUCCCACGUAGACAUGUAGGUGUCCCCGGUAGACAUGUAGGUGUCCCACAUAGACAUGUAGGUGUCCCACAUAGACAUGUAGGUGUCCCACAUAGACAUGUUGGUGUCACACAUAGACAUGUAUGUGUUCUUGGAAAUUGAACUCGUUCUGGUAAAACUGGGCUUAAUGCAUGUGAGAAAAGUGACAUCCCAGAUGUGCAGUUUGCACAGGCUAAUCAGAGAGUACAUUUUUAGCCUGAUUUUGAUUUUUGUUUAGAAUAGAACUCCUUCAAACCAAAAAUUCCAUAAAGCGGAAAGUAUUGUCCCUGAUGAGUUGAAAACAUGAUAUGGACUUUUAUUUUCAGGUUGUGUAACAAGUCUUGGUAGAUUAAAGAUUAUUGAAUAAGAACGCAGUUAAAUUAAACAUCACAGAAUAAACAUGAAUACAAAUGUAUCAGAUAUUUAUUUUUUCCAAAUACUGCAACAAACAUUAUUGACAAUCUUGUCAAUUAAUAAACGUUUAUUAAUAAAAUAUAUAAGAAAUAGUACAGACUAUUUAGGGCCUCCUUGCAUUAUAGGCACUGACCAGUCAGCCCGACAAUUUUGAUUGUAGCUACGCCAAAGGAACAUUAACACAUUAUUGACUAGACAGACUGUUAGACACACCUGACAGUCUACUUAAUCAACGUUUUAAACUAGAACUUGUCACAAUAUCAUGACGAAGAAUAACCCCCCGCCAAGGACCAUUAUACAUAAAUUACAAGAAGUCCCUGUCCUUUCAUACAAAAAGUUUUGUAAAGUUAUUUUGCAAUACAAGUAUAUAUAAAUAAUGUGACCUUUGAAUGUGGCCACUUUUGAUUCAAGGGCAUAAUUUGAAAAAAACUUGUUUAGGACCACAAUAUACAAGGUUUUUUACCAAAUAUUUAACUUCUGGAACUUUUAGUUUCAGAGGAGAAAUUAACAAUGUAUUUUACUUUAUAAAUGUAUAUUAAAUAGUGCCCCCCACCACCACCAUGGCAAGGCUAGUGUGUACCCUAUUGCUAACGGCAUCAUUUGAUUUAUCUUUGUAGUGACCACUUUACACCAUUACAUACCAAAUAUAAAAUCUGUUGACCGUGUGUUCAGAGAAAAUAAUGAGCUAAUAGUGUGUAAUCAUGAAUGCUGUUAUGAAAUAUUUUAAGUAGAAACAGGGGCAUAUCUUUUGUAAUUUUAACACAUAUGAUACAAAUCUUACAUGCACAACUACUUAUCAUAUGCAUUAAUACCUUCAAGUUAUAAUGUUGAGCACUAAAGUGUUGAAGAACG